rnacentral:rRNA from 1 species
AUGAACGCUGGCGGCGUGCCUCAUACAUGCAAGUCGAGCGAACGGACGAGAAGCUUGCUUCUCUGAUGUUAGCGGCGGACGGGUGAGUAACACGUGGAUAACCUACCUAUAAGACUGGGAUAACUUCGGGAAACCGGAGCUAAUACCGGAUGAUAUUUUGAACCGCAUGGUUCAAAAGUGAAAGACGGUCUUGCUGUCACUUAUAGAUGGAUCCGCGCUGCAUUAGCUAGUUGGUAAGGUAACGGCUUACCAAGGCAACGAUGCAUAGCCGACCUGAGAGGGUGAUCGGCCACACUGGAACUGAGACACGGUCCAGACUCCUACGGGAGGCAGCAGUAGGGAAUCUUCCGCAAUGGGCGAAAGCCUGACGGAGCAACGCCGCGUGAGCGAUGAAGGUCUUCGGAUCGUAAAACUCUGUUAUUAGGGAAGAACAUAUGUGUAAGUAACUGUGCACAUCUUGACGGUACCUAAUCAGAAAGCCACGGCUAACUACGUG